AUUGAACGCUGGCGGCAUGCCUAACACAUGCAAGUCGAGCGGAGCGGCGGACGAGUGAGUAAUGCCUAGUAAUCUGCCUGGUAGUGGGGGACAACUUCCGGAAGCGGGCGCUAAUACCGCAUGCUAGCAGAUGGGCUUCGGUCGGAUUAGCUAGUUGGUGGGGUAAAGGCCUACCAAGGUGACGAUCCGUAACUGGCCUGAGAGGAUGAUCAGCCACACUGGAACUGAGACACGGUCCAGACUCCUACGGGAGGCAGCAGUGGGGAAUAUUGGACAAUGGGCGAAAGCCUGAUCCAGCCAUGCCGCGUGUGUGAAGAAGGUCUUCGGAUUGUAAAGCACUUUUAGUAGGGAGGCGUUACCAACAGAAUAAGCAACGGCUAACUACGUGCCAGCAGCCGCGGUAAUAC
rnacentral:rRNA from 1 species